rnacentral:rRNA from 1 species
GACGAACGCUGGCGGCGUGCUUAACACAUGCAAGUCGAACGAUGUAGCUAGAGCUUGCUCUGGUGAAUUAGUGGCGAACGGGUGAGUAACACGUGAGUAACCUGCCCCGAACUCUGGGAUAACUGCUGGAAACGGUAGCUAAUACCGGAUAGGACCACUGCGUGCAUGGGGGGUGGUGGACACCUUUUGCGGGGUGGGAUGGGCCCGCGGCCUGUCAGCUUGUUGGUGGGGUGAUGGCCUACCAAGGGGACGACGGGUAGCCGGCCUGGGAGGGUGACCGGCCACACUGGGACUGAGAUACGGCCCAGACUCCUACGGGAGGCAGCAGUGGGGAAUAUUGCACAAUGGGCGCAAGCCUGAUGCAGCGACGCCGCGUGAGGGAUGACGGCCUUCGGGUUGUAAACCUCUUUUAGUAGGGAAGAAGCGAAAGUGACGGUACCUGCAGAAAAAGCACCGGCUAACUACGUGCCAGCAGCCGCAGUAA